GACGAACGCUGGCGGCGCGCUUAACACAUGCAAGUCGAGCGAGAACCCAGGCUUCGGCCUGGGGGAAAGCGGCGAACGGGUGAGUAACACGUGGGUAAUCUGCCCUCGGCAUCGGGAUAGCCCGGGGAAACCCGGAUUAAUACCGGAUGGCCCGACAGCUCUUCGGAGCGGUCGGAAAAGGUAGCUUCGGCCUCCGGCCGAGGAGGAGCCCGCGGCGUGAUUAGCUUGUUGGUGAGGUAACGGCUCACCAAGGCUCCGAUCCGUAGCUGGUCUGAGGGGACGAUCAGAAACGCGGGGACUGAGACACGGCCCAGACUCCUACGGGAGGCAGCAGUGGGGAAUCUUGCGCAAUGGGCGAAAGCCUGACGCAGCGACGCCGCGUGAGGGAAGAAGGCCUUCGGGUUGUAAACCUCUUUCAGGAGGGACGAAGCCACUCGGGUUAAUAGCCCAGAGGGUGACGGUACCUCCAGAAGAAGCCCCGGCUAACUACGUGCCAGCAGCCGCCGUAACAC
rnacentral:rRNA from 1 species